rnacentral:misc_RNA from 1 species
UAUGGAACCACCGUUGUGUGCUCCGUGCAUUACGUCGAAGGCAAAUACGCCCUCUAAUCGAGUGUAACUUGCGCGCAUCGGUGGGGCUUGAUAAGACAAUCAAG